rnacentral:rRNA from 1 species
GAUGAACGCUGGCGGCGUGCCUAAUACAUGCAAGUCGAGCGAACGGACGAGAAGCUUGCUUCUCUGAUGUUAGCGGCGGACGGGUGAGUAACACGUGGAUAACCUACCUAUAAGACUGGGAUAACUUCGGGAAACCGUAGCUAAUACCGGAUAAUAUUUUGAACCGCAUGGUUCAAAAGUGAAAGACGGUCUUGCUGUCACUUAUAGAUGGAUCCGCGCUGCAUUAGCUAGUUGGUAAGGUAACGGCUUACCAAGGCAACGAUGCAUAGCCGACCUGAGAGGGUGAUCGGCCACACUGGAACUGAGACACGGUCCAGACUCCUACGGGAGGCAGCAGUAGGGAAUCUUCCGCAAUGGGCGAAAGCCUGACGGAGCAACGCCGCGUGAGUGAUGAAGGUCUUCGGAUCGUAAAACCCUGUUAUUAGGGAAGAACAGAUGUGGAAGUAACUGUGGACAUCUUGACGGUACCUAAUCAGAAAGCCACGGCUAACUACGUG